AUGACAGUGCUAAGUUGGAACUGCCGAGGACUUGGGCAACCCCGGACAGUUCAGGAGCUAGUGUGUCUAGUGCACACAUACAAGCCUAAGCUUGUGUUCAUCUCUGAAACUCGACAAAGCAACUUGUAUGUCAAUAAGCUCAGAUGGAGGCUCGACCUCAAGCAUUGUAUUACGCAGCCUGGCAUUGGCAAAGGUGUCUGUAUUGCGCUAUUCUAUGAUGAAAAUGUAGAAGUAAUAAAGCUUGCCGUUGGCUCGAGGUAUAUCGAUGUUCUGAUCAGAUUAUCCCCUGAUAGCUUGCAAUGGCGUGGUACCUUCAUCUAUGGAGAACCUAAGGCACAUGAGUGA
rnacentral:rRNA from 1 species